GACGAACGCUGGCGGCGUGCUUAACACAUGCAAGUCGAACGGAAAGGCCCUGCUUUUGUGGGGUGCUCGAGUGGCGAACGGGUGAGUAACACGUGAAUAACCUGCCCUUGACUUUGGUAUAACUUAAGGAAACUGGGGCUAAUACCGUAUAGGAGCUCCUCCUGCAGGGUGGGGGUGGGAAAGUUUCGGCGGUUGGGGAUGGACUCGCGGCUUGUCGGCUUGUUGGUGGGGUAGUGCCUUACCAAGGCUUUGACGGGUCGCCGGCCUGAGAGGGUGACCGGCCACAUUGGGACUGAGAGACGGGCCAGAGGGCUACGGGAGGCAGCAGUGGGGAAUAUUGCACAAUGGGCGGAAGCGGGAUGCAGCAACGCCGCGUGCGGGAUGACGGCCUUCGGGGUGUAAACCGCUGUCGGCUGUGACGAAGCGUGAGUGACGGUAAUGGGUAAAGAAGCACCGGCUAACUACGUG
rnacentral:rRNA from 1 species